UACGUAGGUGGCAAGCGUUGUCCGGAAUUAUUGGGCGUAAAGGGCGCGUAGGCGGCUUGGUAAGUUUGAUGUGAAAUCCCAUGGCUCAACCAUGGAACUGCAUCUCAUACUGCCGAGCUAGAGUCUGGGAGAGGGAAGCGGAAUUCCCGGUGUAGCGGUGAAAUGCGUAGAUAUCUGGAGGAAUACCGGUGGCGAAGGCGGCAUCCUGGACCAUUACUGACGCUGAGGCGCGAAAGCUAGGGGAGCAAACGGG
rnacentral:rRNA from 1 species